rnacentral:rRNA from 1 species
AGUAAGGAAUAUUGGUCAAUGGACGAAAGUCUGAACCAGCCAUGCCGCGUGGAGGAUGAAGGCCCUCUGGGUUGUAAACUUCUUUUAUAUGGGACGAAAAAGGGACUUUCUAGUUCAACUGACGGUACCAUGUGAAUAAGCACCGGCUAACUCCGUGCCAGCAGCCGCGGUAAUACGGAGGGUGCAAGCGUUAUCCGGAUUCACUGGGUUUAAAGGGUGCGUAGGUGGGUUGGUAAGUCAGUGGUGAAAUCUCCAAGCUUAACUUGGAAACUGCCAUUGAUACUAUCAGUCUUGAAUAUUGUGGAGGUUAGCGGAAUAUGUCAUGUAGCGGUGAAAUGCUUAGAUAUGACAUAGAACACCAAUUGCGAAGGCAGCUGGCUACACAUAUAUUGACACUGAGGCACGAAAGCGUGGGGAUCAAA